rfam:Gossypium hirsutum cultivar TM-1 chromosome 24, whole genome shotgun sequence
UGUUAAAUUUUUUAUCUAUUUGUAUUGUUAAAAUUUUGCAUAGCUAAUUGAAUAACCAAACAAUGACAUGUGGUGUGCCACAUGUACCUCAUGCUUACACACAAAGACUAACUUUUAAUUGUAGAAAUGGAUGUUGUGACA